CGGCGGACGGGUGAGUAAUGUCUGGGAAACUGCCUGAUGGAGGGGGAUAACUACUGGAAACGGUAGCUAAUACCGCAUAACGUCGCAAGACCAAAGUGGGGGACCUUCGGGCCUCAUGCCAUCAGAUGUGCCCAGAUGGGAUUAGCUAGUAGGUGGGGUAACGGCUCACCUAGGCGACGAUCCCUAGCUGGUCUGAGAGGAUGACCAGCCACACUGGAACUGAGACACGGUCCAGACUCCUACGGGAGGCAGCAGUGGGGAAUAUUGCACAAUGGGCGCAAGCCUGAUGCAGCCAUGCCGCGUGUGUGAAGAAGGCCUUCGGGUUGUAAAGCACUUUCAGCGGGGAGGAAGGCGUUAAGGUUAAUAACCUUGGCGAUUGACGUUACCCGCAGAAGAAGCACCGGCUAACUCCGUGCCAGCAGCCGCGGUAAUACGGAGGGUGCAAGCGUUAAUCGGAAUUACUGGGCGUAAAGCGCACGCAGGCGGUCUGUCAAGUCGGAUGUGAAAUCCCCGGGCUCAACCUGGGAACUGCAUUCGAAACUGGCAGGCUAGAGUCUUGUAGAGGGGGGUAGAAUUCCAGGUGUAGCGGUGAAAUGCGUAGAGAUCUGGAGGAAUACCGGUGGCGAAGGCGGCCCCCUGGACAAAGACUGACGCUCAGGUGCGAAAGCGUGGGGAGCAAACAGGAUUAGAUACCCUGGUAGUCCACGCCGUAAACGAUGUCGAUUUGGAGGUUGUGCCCUUGAGGCGUGGCUUCCGGAGCUAACGCGUUAAAUCGACCGCCUGGGGAGUACGGCCGCAAGGUUAAAACUCAAAUGAAUUGACGGGGGCCCGCACAAGCGGUGGAGCAUGUGGUUUAAUUCGAUGCAACGCGAAGAACCUUACCUGGUCUUGACAUCCACAGAACUUUCCAGAGAUGGAUUGGUGCCUUCGGGAACUGUGAGACAGGUGCUGCAUGGCUGUCGUCAGCUCGUGUUGUGAAAUGUUGGGUUAAGUCCCGCAACGAGCGCAACCCUUAUCCUUUGUUGCCAGCGGUUCGGCCGGGAACUCAAAGGAGACUGCCAGUGAUAAACUGGAGGAAGGUGGGGAUGACGUCAAGUCAUCAUGGCCCUUACGACCAGGGCUACACACGUGCUACAAUGGCAUAUACAAAGAGAAGCGACCUCGCGAGAGCAAGCGGACCUCAUAAAGUAUGUCGUAGUCCGGAUUGGAGUCUGCAACUCGACUCCAUGAAGUCGGAAUCGCUAGUAAUCGUAGAUCAGAAUGCUACGGUGAAUACGUUCCCGGGCCUUGUACACACCGCCCGUCACACCAUGGGAGUGGGUUGCAAAAGAAGUAGGUAGCUUAACCUUCGGGAGGGCGCUUAC
rnacentral:rRNA from 1 species